rnacentral:rRNA from 1 species
UACAGAGGGUGCAAGCGUUAAUCGGAAUUACUGGGCGUAAAGCGUGCGCAGACGGUUGCGCAAGUCAGAUGUGAAAGCCCCGGGCUCAACCUGGGAAUUGCAUUUGAGACUGCGUAGCUAGGGUGCGGAAGAGGGAAGCGGAAUUUCCGGUGUAGCGGUGAAAUGCGUAGAUAUCGGAAGGAACACCAGUGGCGAAAGCGGCUUCCUGGUCCAGCACCGACGUUCAGGCACGAAAGCGUGGGGAGCAAACAGG